rnacentral:rRNA from 1 species
UUAGUGAUUUGGCCGAAAGGCCUCAUUUCGAUUCUCACAACACCUGUGAACUGUAGGGGCCUCCGGGCCUCCCAUUACAAACAUCAGUGUAACGAACGUCAAAUGUAUCUUAACAUAAAUAAAACUUUCAACAACGGAUCUCUUGGCUCUCGCAUCGAUGAAGAACGCAGCGAAACGCGAUAUGUAAUGUGAAUUGCAGAAUUCAGUGAAUCAUCGAAUCUUUGAACGCACCUUGCGCCUUUUGGUAUUCCGAAAGGCAUGCCUGUUUGAGUGUCAUGAAAUCUCAAUCCCCUCAGGUUUAUGAUCUGGGCCGGGACUUGGACUUGGGCGUCUUGCCAGCUUUUGCCUGGCUCGCCUUAAUGGUGUCAGUGGGACUUUGCUUCCGAUCAUCAGACGUAAUAAGUUUCGUCUGUUUGGGAGGUGAGGGCUUGCUUACAACGCUGUGCCUUGGCACAACCUUUUUCGAUCUGACCUCAAAUCAGGUAGGGCUACCCGCU